GGCCGGAAGGAGAGCCGAGGGCGAGCGGAGGGCCGCGGGGGGUCGGAGGACACCCCGAGGGGGCCCGCGAGGAAGGAGCCCGACGCACACGGGGACCCGAGUCCAGGGCGGCGGAGGCGACGAAGACCCUAGGGGACCAAGGGCCACCCGCGGAUGAAGGAGAGAGGUGCAGGGAGCUACAGUGGAGGCUAAAGCAGAGAGAUGCCCUGAAGAUGAUUAUAAAUAUAGGUGUGCAGACAGGGAUGACAAAGCCCACAGAAGGGCAGGUGGUAGCAGUAGGGGCCCCCUGGCCCAGGCAGACCUUGUGACUGCUCCCAGCUUAGCGGACAAGGAACACAGCAGUUGCACCUCUGUCCUCACAGCUCAGCACCUGCAGGAUCCAAGUCAUCCCUACCGCGCAUCCAGACCUUCUGUCCAGAAGGGACAAGUGCAAGGAUGACAAGGACGUUUUUGCAUCAUGUACAGAAACCUACUAAAGAGAUGUAUGGGUCACUGCAGGAGCAGGGCUCUUAACCAAGAGUCAUUCAUCUUUGUGAUCCAGGACCAUCUCAAGCCAAAGGGAAAAUCCAGGGCUGUUAUAGGCAUUACAAAGACACUAGCUGAUCUGUGUCUCUGUGACAGAUGAACACCUUCAUUCUCCCAGUCUGUACAGAGAAGCUUUUUCCUUCCAAAGCAGAAGACAGGUGCUGGAGGACACAAAGACCAGACAGGCACCACCUCAGGCAGUGAGAAGAGCAACCAAAUAGUUAAAUACAAUGUGCCGCAUCCCAGGAGUCCUAUCAGACACCUUUUUUUGGUUGUUAAUUAUUGGAGAUUAAUCAGCCACAAGACUUUUUAUGUCAUUUGUGAACACCAUAGGUUAUAUCUAAUUCAAACAUGCAUUAUCUUCUAUCAAAGAGGAGGGAAAUGUAUACAAAUAAAAAAGAAACAAUUGAAAUUGGUUUUUCAUGACCUGGAAAAUAAAGAACUCUAGCUGAUAUCAAUUGUUUAAAUAUACUGAAUGUGUGCUUUGGGAAUGCAGAUGGAGUAGGAGUAAUUGCUUCUGGCUUCUUAGAGCUUCAUGACACACCAUGAAAUUUUUUUUUCCACCCCAUGAAAUUGUAAAAGUUCUGAGUACAAGGCUCUUUCUUCUUCCAUUCUCUACCCGAAGUAAUAGGGAAGUUCAAUAGAAAUACAUGCAAAUGAGCCCUGUUAAGGUAUGAAGGAACUCCUAUCUCAUCAAUUCCUCCAAUAGUUACCUAGCUUUCCUGACAGUUCGAUAUUUUCAAUGUACAGAUAUGUGAUGGUUAAUUUUGUGUCCAUUUAAGGGGUGUUUGGGAAUGAAAUGAACAUUUAAAUCUGGACUAUCCUCCAAAAUGUGGAUGGGCCUCACCCACUCACUCGAAGUCCUGAAGAGAACAGAGAGACCAGCCUCCCUGAGCAAGAAGGAAUUCACCAGCAGACUGUCUUUGGACUUCACGUGCACCAUCCACUCUCCUGGGUCACAAGCCUCUGGGCCACAUUGAAGAUUUGGACUUACCAGUCUCCGUAGUAGUGCAAGCCAAUUUCUUGGAAUAAGUCUCUCUCUAUAUGGACACAUCCCAUUGAUUUGUUUCUCUGGAGAACCUUAAUGAAUACAAGGUAUAAAUAAUUUCUAAACAAAUGGAUUGGUAUAUCUUUGCCUACCUCCAGAGAGAAUUUAUAAAUUGCAUUAUAAAACACCUUAAAAUUAAAGGUGCCUCUAUUUUGAUUGACUUAUAGAAACUAAUUGUCUUUUUUAAUUGAAGUAUAAUUGACAUAACAUGUUAUAUUAGUUUCAGGUGUACAAUACAGUGAUCCAGCAAUUCUGUAAUUUAUUCAGUGUUCAUUACAUUAAGUGUUCUCUUAAUCCCCUUUAUCUAUUUCACCCAUCCCCCAUCUACCUUCCCUCUGGCAACCAUCAGUUUGUUCUCUGUAUUUGUCUGUUUUUUUUUUCUCUUUUUUCUUU